UACAGAGGUCUCAAGCGUUGUUCGGAUUCAUUGGGCGUAAAGGGUGUGUAGGUGGCGCCGUAAGUCGGGUGUGAAAUUUCGGAGCUUAACUCCGAAACUGCAUUCGAUACUGCGGUGCUUGAGGACUGGAGAGGAGACUGGAAUUCAUGGUGUAGCAGUGAAAUGCGUAGAGAUCAUGAGGAAGACCAGUGGCGAAGGCGGGUCUCUGGGCCGAUACUGACGCUGAGGAGCGAAAGCGUGGGGAGCGAACAGG
rnacentral:rRNA from 1 species